GAUGGCUUUUUUGGUGGGCUUAUGGUAUGUUCCUCAAUUAUCUACUAGUUUAUAUUGCUUCUUGUUUUGCAAUUCCAUCAAUGUCAUUCACAAGUGCAGCUCUGUUAGUAAUUAUAUUGUGUAUAAAAUGUCUGAUUUGAAUUAUGCCUUUCAUAGUAAUUUCACUAGAAGGAGCUCUUUUACUUUCAUGUGCUGAUAAGCGGGUCAAUUACCUACCCAGUAAUUUCUCUUUCAAUAAAAAGUGAACAGCAGGGAAGGUUUUUGUCUGAGGUUGAGACAUGGCUUUACAUUUUCUUAAAUUUUCAGGUGCCUCUUCCUGAAAUGUUGGCUAGUUAUUCAUGCCUGUUUGUUUCUGAUUUUUAUCUGGCAAUUUCAAUAAAAUUACUGUCAUAGUGACAUGUUCAAUUGCUGAAUAAACUUAUUGUUCUGAAUAUCUAUUGUUUAGUACUUCAAUAAACUGACGGCAUCUUUUUUAUUUUUAUGCAGUCAUUUGUGCUAUUCUGGACGUAUCCUUCAUGCUCUACUUUAUUAUAGAUAUGUUAUAGAUAACUUUCUUAAAACUAUGAUUACAACAAUCAUUGAUUUUGCAAUCAUGUAAUCUAAACUAUGAACUACAUGACUGUUCUCAAAUAUGACAUUACAUUGCAUUUUAAAUGGUGAGUCCUACAUGGAUGGUUAUAGGGAUUAAUAGUUUCUAUGCUGAAUAUGUGAUGAAAACGGCACAAGGGGUGGGAAAAUUAUGUUCUCUUUGAGCAUUUUACAUUUUCCAUUUAAUUCUCAAUAUAUGACAACAUACAUAAAAACAUUUUCCCUUUUCCCUUUUUUGCCUUGUGUUGGUUGGCAUAUCAACAAUGCUUCUAGUUACGGGGCAGUUAAGCAUAUUUUGUAUUCAAAAACAUUAACUUGAUUAUUUGUUCAGAUAUCCAUGUUCUUUAUGGUAUUUCCUUGACAUGAAAAAGAUUCGCGUAUGAUAUCGUGCAUAUAUUCUGAUGAAGUUAUCAUCAGUGUCCCAUCUCGGAUGGAAGGACAAGCAGAGCUGCCGCUGGCUUGUGCCCCCAAUUUAUGUCACCUCGGAGCUUGAGUACAUGUUUAAUGCUUUGUGUCCAUUACAAAACAAUUACAAGGAUCACUUUUAUCCUAUCUUUUUAAAGUUUGGUUCAGCAGAUCCAUACUCUUAGGCUUGACUGUAGAGGGGAAUUUCUCAUGCAAAUUAAGGAAGCUGCUUUGUGUUGGUCGAUUUAUACCAAUGAUUUUCUAUUUGUACGCUGAGGAUUAUUCAAUGGAUGUAUGUUUAAGAAUUAAGAUUUAGAUUCUAUCCAUCUGCCUCUUGUUUCUUAGUCUUUCUUCAAUUGAGAUUGUAGUAGGAAUGCUUGAUGAAAGUUCACGAAUGUGCACGACCUCUUAAUUGUGGGAAAUUCACUCAACUUG
rnacentral:misc_RNA from 1 species